UUUACAACAAUUACAAUUACGACUCGUCUUUACGUUUGUAGUGGCCGCGCCUUCUAGUGGCCGUAGUGGUUAUGACGGGAGCAAAGC